GACCCAGCAUGGCAUAGUGGUUUGGGCCUUGGACUAUGACUCUGGAGGCCAGGGUCCGAUUCCCAGCUUGGCCA